GACACCAGCUCAUUGUCAUCGUGUGUCAGUGGCUGCUGCAGUGCUGUGUUGUGUGUACGUUAGCGUAUCGACAAGAAUCUUCAACCAUGCAGACCUCAACCAUUGUAGUUCUUGCGUGCCUCAUCGCCGUGGUGGUUGCGUACCAAGAACCUCAACCCUUGGACGCGGCACAGGAAUCCUACCUCGACACUCCCGAACAUGACAGGAGUCCAAGGAAUAAGAGAGGUCUGCUGCUCUUGAAGAAGAAGUUGCUUCUUGGUGCUCUGGGCCUAAAAGCAGCGAAGGUCGGUGCUGUGGGAGUCGCUGGAGCUCUCGCGCUCAAAGCUAAGGCAGCUAAGCCGAAAGUAGCAGCGGCCAGCUUUUUCCACCAUGGGGAUCUACCGCUGGUAAUUAGGUACCAUUAGUCGCGGCAACUUCCAAUAGCUCAUAAUAAGUCAGAACGUUGAGUAGCAGAGAAGUUUCAUUUGGUGAUUGCCUGUACUGGGAUUUUUCUUACAACGCAUCGAGUUCGUCUACGUUCUAAGAGAAAUCGGUAUGAUGUGUUAAGUAGUGUUAACAGCUAGGAUUUCGUUUUAAUCUAUGAGAGGCUUCUGUGUGAUGGGUAUUUAGAUUAAACGGAUCAUUUUAUAGGUUAUAAUUUAGAGACUUACGUGACGCUUGAUGGCAACAAAUUGUUUGAAUCGCUUCCAUUUGAGAAUUUUAAAAAGGUCGUGCAUAUUUUAAACAUAAUCCAUGCCAUGUUUUUGUCAUAUUUUGAAUGGUUCACCUGACAAGUUGACCUGAGCUCCAUUUUGUUUUUUACUUUGAUUAAGCUGUAUGACUUGCAUCAUGUAUCAGCAUAAUCGUUGACAUCUCAAGUCAGAUCCGUGCCCGGUAGAGGCUUACCUAGAGGCUAUUAACAGUCCACUGUAAAUUCUGAACUCAAAUAUUAAAUGACCAUGUCUAUCUGUCAGGUAAAGCAUUUGCUGAAGAUUUUAUCAUUAUGUGAUUCUUUGAUGACAUUGAAGCUCAAAUGCAUGCGAAUAAAGCGCCAAAUGUGACACCAUAGUAAAAAGGGUUGUUAUAUUUGUGACAAAAACUGAAUAAAAGUUAAUUGAAACAAACCAUUUUGAACAAUAACAUUAAUUAAACUUUGCCCAUUAAAGAUCAUAUAUUUGCUCAUGAAAUAAUUACUGCCAUAAUUUAAUGUAUUAUUCGAAUGGUAAUAAAAGCAUUAUGCAAUUGCAUUAGUCACAGGCUUCCAGGUUGCUAGCAAUGAGGUAGACUGAUGUAUACCUAAUUGGUAAACAGAAGCGCACACGCAUAGAUUAUCAGGUUCAAUAUUUGUUAUGUCAUCAACGUCACGUAAACUUACAUUAUAUGUAAAUGGCCUGUUACAUAAACCUAAGAUUUAAUAUAAGUCAAUGUUUGAAGGAAUGCCAUAGUAGAUAGUUUAUAAGUUUUACUUUAACACACAUUCAAAAUUUAAAUAUCUGGUCAAUUUUGCAUAAAUAAUUUUUCUGCAGAAAAUAUUGAAUACGUUUUGAGGCUAAAAAAAAAUAAUUAUAUAGUUAACGGGUCUAGUCUAUCAUGAACUGCAAAAGGCGCUGUUUUAAAUAUAUAUUUUUUAACAAUGCCCCAUUAUGUAUUUGUACAGGUCUUCAAAAAUGCGUCUGAAUCUAAAAUUGUACACUAGAGCUGUAAAUAUUAUAAAGAAAUAUGUGAAGUUGCCAAUGUGGCGAUGUUUGUUAUAAUAUUUAUAACAUAAAGUGCCGAGGCGAUUGUCAUUUUUUAAACGUUUUAUAACGAAUAAAUGAUAUACUGAAGGA